rnacentral:lncRNA from 1 species
GCACCGCGCGACGAAGGACGGAUGGCUGAGGACUGAGUGUGGCGCGAGGCGGUGGCCACGGCCGACGAGUGGGUGCGUCUAGGCGCUGACGAACGCCAGGGCCCAGGGUCUGGUCCUCCUCCUUGUAGCAAGUCCAGGGCGCAGCCGCCUCGCCCAGCCCCUAGGCGCACUCGUCCCGGCGCGCAGGCUGCGGCGACUUGGCGGGCGCUCCGUGCCGCGGCUCGCCGCAGAGGCGCAGACUGGCGCUCGGGAAGCGGCAGAGGCUGCCUCGUCUCCCGGCUCUGUUAACUGCGCCGCAGAGUACUUUCGACUUUGGAGAUAGGAAGGCGAUCGCCUCCCCCACCCACCGCCUCCGCCCACCACCCACCGCCUCCGCCCCUCGGAGCAACUUUUCUCCGUGCAAGCGAGCUCCCCUUCAGCUCCGAGGCGACCAUCCCGGCCCGAUGCGCUCCGGGCCGUGUUUGGGGAAGGCCACUUCUCCCUCAGAUCGGGUGCGGCCG